UGGUGGCGAGUGGCGAACGGGUGAGUAAUAUAUCGGAACGUGCCCAGUCGUGGGGGAUAACGCAGCGAAAGCUGUGCUAAUACCGCAUACGAUCUAUGGAUGAAAGCGGGGGAUCGCAAGACCUCGCGCGAUUGGAGCGGCCGAUAUCAGAUUAGGUAGUUGGUGGGGUAAAGGCCCACCAAGCCGACGAUCUGUAGCUGGUCUGAGAGGACGACCAGCCACACUGGAACUGAGACACGGUCCAGACUCCUACGGGAGGCAGCAGUGGGGAAUUUUGGACAAUGGGCGCAAGCCUGAUCCAGCAAUGCCGCGUGCAGGAUGAAGGCCUUCGGGUUGUAAACUGCUUUUGUACGGAACGAAACGGUCCUUUCUAAUAUAAGGGGCUAAUGACGGUACCGUAAGAAUAAGCACCGGCUAACUACGUGCCAGCAGCCGCGGUAAUACGUAGGGUGCGAGCGUUAAUCGGAAUUACUGGGCGUAAAGCGUGCGCAGGCGGUUAUGUAAGACAGAUGUGAAAUCCCCGGGCUCAACCUGGGACCUGCAUUUGUGACUGCAUAGCUAGAGUACGGUAGAGGGGGAUGGAAUUCCGCGUGUAGCAGUGA
rnacentral:rRNA from 1 species